CCUACGGGAGGCAGCAGUGAGGAAUAUUGGUCAAUGGGCGUACGCCUGAACCAGCCAAGUCGCGUGAGGGAAGACUGCCCUAUGGGUUGUAAACCUCUUUUGUCAGGGAGCAACGCCGGCUACGUGUAGCCGGACUGAGAGUACCUGAAGAAAAAGCAUCGGCUAACUCCGUGCCAGCAGCCGCGGUAAUACGGAGGAUGCGAGCGUUAUCCGGAUUGAUUGGGUUUAAAGGGUGCGUAGGCGGAAUGCCAAGUCAGCGGUAAAAUCGCGGGGCUCAACCUCGCUCCGCCGUUGAAACUGGCGUUCUUGAGUGGGCGAGAAGUAUGCGGAAUGCGUGGUGUAGCGGUGAAAUGCAUAGAUAUCACGCAGAACUCCGAUUGCGAAGGCAGCAUACCGGCGCCCAACUGACGCUGAGGCACGAAAGCGUGGGUAUCGAACAGGAUUAGAUACCCGAGUAGUC
rnacentral:rRNA from 1 species